ensembl:lncRNA
AGAGACAUGGACAGAGACAGGGACAGAGACAGGGACAGAGAUAUGGACAGAGACAGAGACAUGGACAGAGACAGGAACAGAGACAGAGAUAUGGACAGAGACAGGAACAGAGGCAGGAACAGAGACAAAGACAGGGACAGAGAUGUCCUGUUGGGCCUCUGUCUCUCUCCUCCUGAUGUCCUGGGCCUUUGUCUCUCUCCUCCUGAUGUCCUGCUUUUCCUGGGCCUCUGUCUCUCCUCCUGAUGUCCUGCCUUUCCUGGGCCUCUGUCUCCCUCCUCCUGAUGUCCUGGGUGUCUGUCUCCCUCCUCCUGAUGUCCUGGGCCUUUGUCUCCCUCCUCCUGAUGUUCUGCUUUUCCUGGGCCUCUGUCUCUCUCCUCCUGAUGGCCUGCUGGGUCUCUGUCUCUCUCCUCCUGAUGUCCUGCUGGUUCUGGGCCCUCCCUCCAGGGCUGUCUGUCACACCCCACCCCUCCCUGACAGGCCAGUCUCAGGGCUCUUUUGUCUCAGAGUGAGGAGUGGAUGCAGUACUUCCUCUCUCCAAGGGGCCAGUGGGUUUGUCAAGUGGCCGGUCAACACAAUGGUUACCACUCAUAAAGGUCACUACUCCUUACUGCAGGGGUGGAUGUGUGCACGCGGUGUGUGUUUGCGCAUGUGUGUGUGUGUGUGUGUGUGUGUAAAUGCCUUGGCCCUGCUGAGAAGAGAGAGGACAAUGCUUCUCACUGUGAGGUCAGAGGCCCCAUUUAAUGACCCAUAUUCCUGUUGAAUUCAGCCUGAUCCAGAAUGAUCCUGAUCAGCAGACUUAUACCAUGUGAAUUUAACAAUGUAGAGUUCAUUACAGACUGAACAGAGGCCCGGAUGCUCAGAAAGAGGAUUGGAAAGUGGAAUGUGUGUCAGGUUGAAUAUUGUGUUUAACGGCAUAGCGUUGCAGUAUCAUAGACUGGUUAACUACUCCUUACUGCGUGUGUGUGUGUGUGUGUGUGUGUGUGUGUGUGUGUGUGUGUGUGUGUGUGUGUGUGUGUGUGUGUGUGUGUGUGUGUGUGUGUGUGUGUGCGCGCGUGUGUGUGUGCGGCAGGUAGCCUAGUUGUUAGAGCGUUGGGUCAGUAACCGAACGGUUGCAAGAUUGAAUCCCC